GCAGCCCGGGGCCUUGCUUUCUUGCAUACAUCAGAGAAGCAAGUGAUUUAUAGAGAUUUUAAGGCCUCAAACAUAUUGCUUGAUGGGUCUUACACAGCCAAGAUUUCAGAUUUUGGUUUGGCGAAAUUGGGGCCUUCUGCUAGUCAAUCUCAUGUGACAACAAGGGUGAUGGGCACCUAUGGUUAUGCAGCUCCAGAGUAUGUUGCGACAGAG
rnacentral:misc_RNA from 1 species